rnacentral:rRNA from 1 species
UACGAAGGGGGCUAGCGUUGCUCGGAAUCACUGGGCGUAAAGGGUGCGUAGGCGGCGCGGUAAGUCGGGUGUGAAAUCUCGGAGCUUAACUCCGAAACUGCAUUCGAUACUGCCGUGCUUGAGGACUGGAGAGGAGACUGGAAUUCCUGGUGUAGCGGUGAAAUGCGCAGAUAUCAGGAGGAACACCGAUGGCGAAGGCAGGUCUCUGGGCCACUACUGACGCUGAGAAGCGAAAGCAUGGGGAGCGAACAGG